rnacentral:lncRNA from 1 species
CAGGGACCUGAUUACUAGCCACCACCUUUGCCUUUGCCAUCAGGGCAGGAGUGGAGACUUCCCCGCCUUUGGUAGAUAAGCAGGACCAAGGCCAAAAGAGGACAAGGUCCUAAUGAGUGUGUGGCAUUGCACUGUACUCCUCUGAGGCCCUGCUGAGCGGGGUCUAAUCCUGCAGCUGUUAAGGAAACGGGGGUGGAGAAAGCCUCUGUGGGUAUUUGACCGACACCUCUGAGGCU